CCAUAUAAGCCCUAUUAGUUGGCAAUCCUUUUAAUCUCUAUUUUACACAUAAGGGCACCGAGACUUAAGGAAGUUCAGUCCUCAUCAAGACACUGAACCCUGAGGACUUACUGUGUACCCUCAGAUAACUUUGCUCUAGUUGCAGGGCCAGAGGUGGUUGUACAGUCAGCCUGUAGGAUGCUGCAAUGCUGUCUUAAUCCUCAUGGCCUGCCUCUUCCCACAGGGUUCAUAGCAGUGGCAGCAAUGCUUAUGGAUGCUGGACAGGAUUAUAUGGUUUUUGAGGACGUGGCCAUACAUUUCUCCCAGGAGGAGUGGGGAAUUCUUAAUGACGUUCAGAGACACCUGCACAGCGAUGUGAUGCUGGAGAACUUUGCACUUUUGUCCUCAGUAG
rnacentral:lncRNA from 10 species